rnacentral:rRNA from 1 species
CCAUAGCGACUAUCGUGGCAUAUCAAUAAGCGGAGGAAAAGAAACUAACAAGGAUUCCCUUAGUAACGGCGAGUGAAGCGGGAAGAGCUCAAAUUUGAAAUCUUCAAGGUUUGACCUUGACGAAUUGUAGUUUAAAGAAGUGUUUUCGGUUAGAGGAGUUUAGGUAAAAGUUCUUUGGAAUAGGACAUCAUAGAGGGUGAGAAUCCCGUAUUUGACCUAUUAUUUUCUAGCUGUGUGAUACACUUUCAAAGAGUCGGAUUGUUUGGGAAUGCAGUCCAAAAUGGGUGGUAAAUUUCAUCUAAAGCUAAAUAUUGGCGAGAGACCGAUAGCGAACAAGUACCGUGAGGGAAAGAUGAAAAGAACUUUGAAAAGAGAGUAAACAGUACGUGAAAUUGUCAAAAGGGAAGCGUUUGACACCAGUGUUGUUUUUCCGAAAAUCAAUUAAAAAUUGAUUCAUGCCAGGUUGUAUUGACCUUAUCAGCUUGCAAUUUGGUUUUGGGUCUCUUUUUGAUGCACUUUUCGGUUAACAAGUCAACAUCAAUUUCCUUUGCUGUAAAAAGGUAAGAGGAAGGUGGCUUCAAUUUCGGUUGAAGUGUUUAUAGCCUUUUAUCUCUGCAGUCGGGGAGAUUGAGGUCUGCAGCGUAGAUCCUUCGGGGCUAGAUACAUUUAUGCUAAGUUAUAGCUUUUCAUAGACAACUUGUUGACUAUGUUUAGUCAUGUAGCUUACUCGUAAGUGCUAUUUUACCUACGCUUAGGAUGUUGAUAGUCACAGCGUGUAC